GACGAACCGUGCGAACGUUGUUCGGAAUCACUGGGCUUAAAGGGCGCGUAGGCGGGCCGCCAAGUCUGGGGUGAAAUCCCACGGCUCAACCGUGGAACUGCCUCGGAUACGUGGCGGCCUCGAGGGAGGUAGGGGCGUGCGGAACUGUGGGUGGAGCGGUGAAAUGCGUUGAUAUCCACAGGAACUCCGGUGGCGAAGGCGGCACGCUGGACCUUUUCUGAGCGCUGAGGCGCGAAAGCCAGGGGAGCAAACGGG
rnacentral:rRNA from 1 species